AUACAUCUAGAUCCAUACCCCUAAACUCCCUAGAUGUCUUUUGGACAGCAAGCCGCUGUCCGUUUUUU
rnacentral:sRNA from 1 species